rnacentral:tmRNA from 1 species
GGGGGCGUACCGGUUUCGACGGGGAUAGUGAGGCCGGAACAGCGAGCAGAGGUGUCUGACCUCUUAAAACAAGGCAAUCUUUAAAAUUAACUGACAGAAAUACUGUUGCUCUGGCUGCCUGAUUAGGCGGCCCGUCCACCCCGGGAGGACCACGGCCCGGGCUUGGGCGUGAUUCAGUGGUACUCGUGCGUGCGCAAAGCUUUGAGCGCACCAUGCACAAUGAAGCUACCAAGCCGCGGAGGGUGUUUGUUCCCGCCGCGGUGAGGGAACGCAAAUAACAAACUGCGCUCGGAGAGGUUCCCGUCAAGUUAUUUUCGGACAGGGGUUCAACUCCCCUCGCCUCCACCA